GUUGUAUGGUUAAGUGACUAAGCGUACACGGUGGAUGCCUGGGCAGUCAGAGGCGAUGAAGGACGUACUAACUUGCGAUAAGCGCAGAUAAGGCAGUAAGAGCCGUUUGAGUCUGCGAUUUCCGAAUGGGGAAACCCAACUGCAUAAGCAGUUACUGUUAACUGAAUACAUAGGUUAACAGAGCAAACCGGGGGAACUGAAACAUCUAAGUACCCCGAGGAGAAGAAAUCAACCGAGAUUCCGGUAGUAGCGGCGAGCGAACCUGGAUUAGCCCUUAAGCACUCGGUGAAGUAGGUGAACAAGCUGGAAAGCUUGGCGAUACAGGGUGAUAGCCCCGUAACCGACGCUUCAUCGAGCGUGAAAUCGAGUAGGGCGGGACACGUGAUAUCCUGUCUGAAUAUGGGGGGACCAUCCUCCAAGGCUAAAUACUCCUGACUGACCGAUAGUGAACCAGUACCGUGAGGGAAAGGCGAAAAGAACCCCUGUGAGGGGAGUGAAAUAGAACCUGAAACCGUGUACGUACAAGCAGUAGGAGCACCUUCGUGGUGUGACUGCGUACCUUUUGUAUAAUGGGUCAGCGACUUAUAUUCAGUGGCAAGGUUAACCGUAUAGGGGAGCCGUAGCGAAAGCGAGUCUUAACUGGGCGCUCAGUCUCUGGAUAUAGACCCGAAACCGGGUGAUCUAGCCAUGGGCAGGUUGAAGGUUGAGUAACAUCAACUGGAGGACCGAACCGACUAAUGUUGAAAAAUUAGCGGAUGACUUGUGGCUAGGGGUGAAAGGCCAAUCAAACUCGGAGAUAGCUGGUUCUCCCCGAAAGCUAUUUAGGUAGCGCCUCGGACGAAUACUACUGGGGGUAGAGCACUGUUAAGGCUAGGGGGUCAUCCCGACUUACCAACCCUUUGCAAACUCCGAAUACCAGUAAGUACUAUCCGGGAGACACACGGCGGGUGCUAACGUCCGUCGUGGAGAGGGAAACAACCCAGACCGCCAGCUAAGGUCCCAAAGUAUUGCUAAGUGGGAAACGAUGUGGGAAGGCUCAGACAGCUAGGAUGUUGGCUUAGAAGCAGCCAUCAUUUAAAGAAAGCGUAAUAGCUCACUAGUCGAGUCGGCCUGCGCGGAAGAUGUAACGGGGCUAAGCAAUACACCGAAGCUGCGGCAAUGUCUUUUAGACAUUGGGUAGGGGAGCGUUCUGUAAGCCGUUGAAGGUGAAUCGUAAGG
rnacentral:rRNA from 1 species